rnacentral:lncRNA from 1 species
GCGUGAUUCAUUACGCCAAUGGCGGCGAGCUUUACACCACUCCAGCCGACGCUUGGCAUUGCGCAUUGUGAUCUUAGGCUUGUAUGCGGCUGCUCGCCCAUGAAACCCAUUUCAUGAAGCUCCCGACGAAACAGUUUUUGUGCUGACAUUGAUUCCAGAGGCAGUUUGGAACUCGGUAGUUAUUGUUACAACCAAGGACAGACAAUUUUUACGCUCUACAUGCUUCAGCACUCAAGGGUCCCGUUCCUUGAGCUUGUAUGGCCUACCACUUCGCAGCUGAGCCAUUGUUGCUCCUAGACGAUUCCACUUCACAAUAACAGCGCUUACAGUUGACGGGGGCAGCUCUAGCAUGGCAGAAAUUUGACGAACUAACCUGUUGGAAAGGUGGUAUCUUGUGACGGUGCCACAAUGAAAGUCACUGAGCUCUUCAGUAAGGCCAUUCUACUGCCAAUGUUUGUUUAUGGAGAUUGCAUGGCUGUGUCCUUAGACACCCGUCACCAACGUGUGUGCCUGAAAUAGCUGAAUCCACUAAUUUCAAGGUGUGUCCGCAUACUUUUUUAUAUAUAGUGCAUGUUGUUAAGCAGGUUUGUAGCUGGGAAUCCACUAAACAAACAUUCCUCUUUUCCUCCUGAUACAGAUUAUAUGAUCAGGUUGUAUUUGCUAAAUUAUUUUGGAACAAUGCUUUGAAACAAAGUCCAGUAUUCGAAUACAUUUUUUGAUUUACUAUCCACUGUCUGUUAUGGAUUAAAAACCCGGUCAAUAACCUCAAAGAUCCAUUAAACCAUCAAAACAGACAGUCCAUUGUGUUCAUUUCAUAGCGGUACUUCUGGACCGAGCCUCGCGAGAGUUUGGUGUCAGAAACUUUUGAAGACUGGGAUUACUUCAUUACCUUUACUAACCACAAGAGGGCAAUAUGUUCUUUAUUUUUUAUUUUUUAUGUACCACACUUAUUUAUUGAAGUCCUGUAUAUAGGCUGGGCAGAGUUGAUUGAACCGAUGUUAAUGAUUGGGUAUGACUUUAGAUUUUAGGAUGAAUAUAGAUGGUCAGUAAUAGGUAUUGAUUGUGCAGUUAUAGUUUACUGGACUGUUCUCCUUAUAUCUGGUUGAAGCACAUGAGCAAUCAGAGCAGGGAUGUAACUAUACCUGCCCCAGUACCCGUGCGUUAGAGAUGACGACGAUACCUCUAACGCACAGAUACUAGUGUACCUGCGAUCUUAUUCAAAAACUCUCAUGAUCUUAUAGGACGAUAGUUCCAGCUCAACUGCGACAUUAUGAGGUCAAAAGUGAUGACCUCACCCUCAUAUAUAUUAGACUCACAGCCUCUUGAGGACCCUAUCAAUAAUGCUGAUGACAUGCAGGAUGAAGUCAGAUAUGAAAAAGAUCAGCCUGAUACUGGGAGCCUGGCCCAGUUCUUUGCUGAUCAAGAAAUAGCCAGCCCAACUCAGUCAAUAGCGGCUGAACCGGAGGCAGAGAUGCAGGAGGCUGAUCUGAAGUCAGCUGAACCAACCCAGUCACUCGAGGCUGAAAUAGAGAGUGGGAUGCAGGCUGAUCUAGAGACACCCGGCCCAUCCCAUGUACAGGAGCCACACCAGACUUCUCUACUCAACUCUGGAGACCUGAAACUGGAGGAUACUGAUGUGACCUUCACCACCAUGCCCACGGCCCCCCAGGCUGCAACGUCCCAGAACAGCCUUGUCAGGCUGCAAAGAAGCUCCCCAGACCUCUCCACCUUUGUGCAGGACAUGACUGACAACCACUGGAAUCUGUUGAGUGAGAAUAUGCGUGCCAAGUUAACUAGAGAUGAGUUUACUGCCAAGUGCAUGGACAUUGUCACAUGGGUGAAGAAGAUCAAAUCGACAGUUGUGGUUCCCGCCCUUGACCUCACCAUGCAGAUAGAGCUGACUGAGUUGCCAGGCUCUCCUGGAUCAGGAAGUGAGGAGGCAGUAACUUCUCUCUCCCGCACUGUGAGAUUAAGUUGUACUCAAGGCCCCAGCAGGAACACCAGUUCUAAAACUUCCUGGAGCACACCGACACCCACACCUUUCCCCUCCAGUCACAGGUCCAUGACCUCUUUGCUGAGUGAAGAGGAUGAUAAAGACUUGAUCCCUGGAGAGGUCACAUAUCGCUCAACACCUGAGGGGGGCAAUAGAGAGAUGAGGGACAGACCCUGCUCAGAGCCACUCAGGUCUGUGUUUGGCCUGUCUCAGAGCUGUAUUUUCAAUCAAAUGGUCCACAGUGGAGCAUGCAGGUCGCUAAGUGAGAUUGUACUGCCAUCCAGCCGGAGUAGGCAGAGGAAGCUCAUGCCCAUCAUCGUCUCCACAGACACCAGAUUGGUAAUGGAAAUUGUGGAGAUGGUGAUGAAAGUCAUCAACUCCAGGCUAGCUCAGCUAAUGCUAAAUGUGGGUUGUAGUCAGGGAACUGAAGGUCAUGGCAGCAACUCAGCAAGCAUUCAGUUUGCUCAAGAAAUGCUGAGCAUGGCAACUGCAUCAAUGUAUGCCCACGCAAUGGAGCAUAUUGCGCACGGCUGCAAGUCCAGCAGUCGCCAGUCCAACAAGUCUCCACUUGAAUUAGCGGGGGAGAUGGAAGCCAUAUUGGGUCCUCUGGCUGGACAGGUAAUAGUCACCGUCAUCAAUAGUAUCCUCAGGACUAAAGACAACGGAAGAACUGAGCAGGAACGGACCACCCCUUUGAGUUACUUCCUUACUGCAGUUUCUGCUGAAAUUCAAAGCAUGGUAGUUCAAAGAUCUGCAAGUAGACAGUCCUCCAGGCAGUCCAUCAGUGACCACUUGAUGAAUAUCUCCAAGGGCAAGAUCGUGAAAGCCGUUCAAAUUAAAAUGUCACAACUCUAUGGCGAGUCUACCAAUGAAAGCUGCAUAUCAGCAACUCCAACAAUCCAGAGCCUGUCCAAGUGCUCAUCCAAAGAAUCCCUUUGUGAUUGGACUCUCACCUCAGAUGACGUGCAUCCAGCUAAGUUCCUGUCUAGCAACAGAAUUACAGCGUUGUCGACUGAUGUUGUGGAUGUUGUGUUUGGUGAUGUUUUUUAUAAUCUUGGACUUUCGGACAGCCAAACACAUUUAAGGCCACAGUGCACCGGCUCCAGCUCAUCAAUAGACAUCAGCGGUGUUGCUGGGGAGAUGGUCAGACAAGUCUCUGUAAAACUCCAGUCCUUUGCGUCCGAGAGCAGUCUGGAGGCCAUGUCCAUGACUCACGACUCACCAUCUUUGUCCAUCUCAGACUCUGACUUGAAGUUCUUGUGCUCUCACUCAGCGGUUGCUGUAGCAACUGCCUGCCAAGCAAUUAAAACUGAGCUUGAGAUUGAGAUGAGUCUCAACCCAGCCACAGAGGCCGGCUCCCAGGGUAACCUUGCUGCCAGAGACCUGGUAUCUUCUCUGUCACAGAGUCUUGAGGAUAUAGAUGUUUCUCAUAUCAUUCAGGGCCUUAAGGAGGCAGAUGUGACAUUUGCCAAUCUGAACAAAACCCCUUCGACCGACACUAAUAGAUUAGAGGAAAUCUUAUCUGCCCAUAUUUCCCCUGAAAGUAUUGCAGCGGCAUCGGUUGAUCUUUUUGAUGGCGUAUUAGGAGACUUGCAUGAGGCAUUUGAGGCAAAUAAGGUCUCAGCAGCCACAAAAUCUGGUCGCAAAAAGUUCUGGGUUGAAGUACAUACAAGUUCACAAAACCUGUACACCAAUGCGCUGGACAAACUAAAUAAGUGGUUCAGUUUACACCAUCUCACUAAUGAAAAAGAUGUUCCUCUGAAUACCAAGCUCUCUGCAACUGGACCACUCCUAACUGAGGCCUGUGUGGAGGUAUCUCCUGUGCAAAAGACCAGUAUUAACAGCUCUGGUAUGUCCUUCAGGUCUCUGAGUGAUAUCUCAGACAACCAGCUAACCCUCAACACAUGCACUAAAGAGGUAAUCAAACAGGUGGCCUCAGUUCUGAAGUUUGAGGCUUCUAAGGAAGACUGUUCUUCUUCCGUUGGAGGGAGGACAUUAAAUGUGUUCUUGGAGUUCAGCCAGAAGUUGGAUGCUCUCAUCUCAAAGUUGGAGGACCUCCCCAUUUCAGGUGAGAUUUCCUCGCUCACACAGCCACAAAGUGCAGUCAGCAGCAGCAGAACCUCUAAUAUUUCCAUCAGGAGUAUCCUAAGUGUGGAGUUCUACACAAAGGCCAACCAGAUCGUGAGUGAGGCUAUCCUUGGAGCUGCAAUUGUUUUCUAUGCUCGCAAAGCCAACCAUUUGGAGCUGAAUAUGCCUGCUACCUAUUCACAACAUCUGUUUGCAGCCACCUCAGACAUUGUGAACAUUAUUGUGGAAGACCUAGAGAGAGAGACCAUGGAUACAGAGUCCCACCUCAUACCUAAAAUAGUUUUUGACAAGUUCCUGGAUGCGGCUCACAACAUCUACUACCAAGUGCGGGAUAGGCUGAAGGUCUUCUUCUCCAUGUCCUCAGUGCCUGCCUCCAAAACCAAAGAUGUGGUGGAUUCCAUGCCUGUGGAGAAACAUGGAUACUUUGAGGCCUCUGACACUGCUCAUGACCCGGAGCGACCUCAAUCUGUCAGGAGUGAGAAGUUGUUGACAAAAGACAGUUUAGCCAAGAUAGAAAGGUCUAAAUCCCUUGCGUCUCGGGGUGGCACAUCAACAGAAAAUCAAGACUUUGACACCUUCACAUUGACACCCACCAAGAGCAUGUCAGUGUUGAGUGAUCACAGUUUGAGAGGAGAUUUUUCUCUCUUGAGUGAAAGUUGCCAACCACUUUUGGCUCUCCAAGACUCAACAGUGGCAGUCACUAAGCAUAGCUUCACCAAGUCUGCUAAGACCACCCUCAGCCAGAUCCUAAAUGUGAUCAAGUGCAGAGUGGCUGCCUCAGAUAAUUCAUCUGUUGGACAGAAGACAACUGACAUGUUGGACUCUCUUCUUGAGAGCCUUGACCAGUUGACUGCAGAUGAGAUAAAGGGGACAGCGUCCCACAGCUUGAUCACAGUAGAUGUGCCAGAGUCACUAUCUAAGCAAUCCUUGACAAAAUACUUUUCUACUCAUGAGAGGAACCAGGAUUCUUCCCCUGCAAAGCUUGUGUGUCAACCAUCAUGCCUGAUACCAACAUCCAUGUCUGACACCAACAUUAUAGUGCAAACUAUAAUGGAAACGCUGGUGAAGGACGAAUCAAAGAAGACUUCAGCAGAGGAAAACCUUGAGAGGCUCGUCUCCAUUGAAACCAUUCAAGGUGUGUCAGACGACCUCAUCACAAAGGUCCAUGGUCUCAUUCAGGAGAUCACAAUAAGCCGGCAACUUCAAUCCAUGGCUGGCCACAGGAGCUUCUCUGAACCGGCAUUGCCAAAGCCAGCCCUAAAAAAGCUGUCAAGGAAUGAUGCCUCUGAGCUCGCCUACAGCUUUGCCGAAAAUUCUGUUAGGACUCUCCUGGGGCAGUGCUUAGAUGUGUCGUCCUUUUCCACUGGAGUAAGGCAGACGAUGGAUCAGGUCACUAAGAUAAUGACUAACACAGUGAUGGACACCCUGACUGAUGAGUCCAAGCCCACAGUGAAGUCAGAGGAUGAAUUAGUUUCCAGGUUAGUCCAACCAGAUGAAUUCCCCACGAGGAGCCUUAACCCAUCUGAUGGCAACGCUGAUGUGAUGCCUCGCUCUGCUGGAGGUGAAAAGAAUAGCAAGAAGUGGCGUUUCCUUUUCAAAAUGCCUAGCAUCCCGAAGAUCAGGAUCAAGGUGUUCAAGAGAAAAGGACAAUCCAAGAAGCACCCUGAACUGGAAGCGCUGCCAACAAAACGUUUCAGUGAUAUGUCACUGAAGGUUCCUUCCGCCUUCCCACCCAUGGAGGACCUGAUACCUGCACCUACUGCACAGAAUCCCCAAUCCCGUAAACGCCCCUUUGUGGUUAGGGUGUUUCGGGCCCUCUCUCGAGCCAUCACCAGUGCCUUCAGAGGAGCUUCAGGGAAGAAGCACUAGCAGGACUCAGGGCUCCAGCAGGAGGGCUUAUGGAUAUCUGAUAUGCCAUUUGACUGGAGGCAUGCUGCAGUAUGCGGCACAGGGAGAAGAAAACAUGCAGAAACGUACUCAUGUGGCAAGGUCUAGUAAAGAUUGGAAGG